AACGCUUCGGACGGCAGAUUUCAGACAACAAAAUUCUUAUUUUUUUGUUGUCUAAACUUCUUCAACGUCUUCAGAGUUCAGACAACAUAUAAGUGAUAUUGUCUUAAUAGUAUUAAAAUCCAUACUGGUUCAAUUUUUUCAACUUUCUUGGAACUUAAAAAAUUCAAGAUUGAUGGGUUCGGGUUCGAAAUUGUAAAGGCACAUCAGCUCUGCCGAUCCGGCAAGACCCGUACGAAGUCUUGUGUGUUUCUAGGGAUUCAAGUCAUUCAACUGAUUAGGAAAUUAAAACGGCGAACUGGAAACUCGCUCUCAAUUAGUAUAUGAGGAUAGUAUUACGCUUUGGGAAGCUUAAGGAGUUGCGUUUUCGUAUAGCAUCUUAUCUGACCCAGAGAAGAGGAACCAUUUUUCUAGGAAAACUCGAAGCAAUUUCACUUCCAUCAGUUUUGGGCUACUCUUCCUCUUGUAAUACAUCUCUGUUUCUCACGUUUUCUAUUUUAGUAUUGUUAAGGAUUUUUGAAAUGUUCAAUUUCUUCUGAAAUUCGCAAGUUUUGUAUACUAAUUGCACUUCUGCACUCUCUCAAGUACUACGUAUUCUCCCUCUUUCUGCAUUUUGGGUUUCAUAUUGUUCUUUCUUUUAGCUGAAUCUGGGGUUAAUUUCUUUUUUGUUCUACAUCUGGGUUUCACCUAGAAAUCUGUAAUUGUUAGCUGUACCAACAAAGUUUGUAACUAGAAGCAUCCUUUUUUCUCUUGUUCAGUGAAGUAUGAUCCUACAAAAUAAGAUCACCGUUCAUAUAAUCAUACCUCAUGUUGAGAUACCUCCUUUAAACUGUCAUAUAAUUAGCAAUGGGAAUGUUGCAUUUUUAAUAGCUCAGUAUACUUGAUACCUGAUGUAGAACAAAAACAGUAUUAAUGUAAUAGGGAUAGAGACUACCUUUCUUCACACCUAGAGAGUCAUUCGUAGAUAGAACUUAGAAUAAUUCUGGCUUCAGAUCGGCCUUGGGCAUCACACCAAAGGUGCCUUGGAAUCGCUUCAAGUCAACCCAGGCUUCACAUUUCGCUAGUAACUUAUCAAUGGCAAAGAGAACUCAAAUGACAUCAAACUGAAUAUGCAUUUGGGAAUUACAUUGAUUACAUAGUGCAGGACAACCUCUUAAUUGCAUGGUGGUUAGCAUAUGGAUGGACUUAUUUGUUACAAUCUGAACUUGGCUCCUGGAUUACUUCUCUUAAUCCUGGAAAGGGUUUCUGAAAGAAUAAAUGUAUCUUGUGUUUCUCCUGGAUGCUUAAUUUCCUGUAUUCUUGGAUUUAGGUGGUCGACAAUGUUGUUUCUUCAAGAAACAUUACUGAAUGGUUGCAGAACAAUGCCCUCGAGCAGCUCAUGGAGUUCACAUCUCAUCUCUACAAAUUUCUUGCGCCUGAUGUGACUUUGAUAACAGAUUUUUGCUACUGUAGAGUUUGGCCUUAAAGCCAUUCUUAUGAGUGCCCCUCCAGCUCUCAUCUCUUAUGUGAUGAAGUAGUUGCACUG